UCCACGGAUAGACAUUAAUGUAGAAUCGCAAAUAUAUCUUGCUAGCUAUUAACACGGGAUGUCAAAAAGGGAAACUGCUUUGACUAAUACUCGGGCGGUUCCUUCAUCUCAGGAAUAAAUCUCCACCGAUUCCUAACAAAAUAUCGACCGGUUCUUCUCAUCUUCCCAAUAUCAUCUCUACCUCUCUCUCUCUCUCUCCAUCUUACGCCGCCGGCGCCGGCCAUGGGUCCAUCACCAUCGGAGACCCGCGCACUGCUGCCAUAAUACUUGAUUGUUUGGGCGCCACGAACGCAACGACCAACAUCCUUGUGGGCGGUCAGGUCUCUGAUGAGACCUACUCCUUCGACAAGUCGCUGACCCUGGUCGAGAUCUUCCAGCUCGCGGGAGGUGCCCUCCCCAAGAAAGGCUCGCUGGUGGUGGUGCUCACGGACCAGUAUGUGGUCGUCGAGCACUUCUGCAGCGCGCUUCGGCCUCCACGGGAACACCUAUUGUUCAAUGAAAGAGGCAGAGGUAGCAGUGCUAGAUUGGCGCACCUUAUUUGCAAUGGUGUAACUAUACACUAACCCUUUUUAUAUGAUCGGUUUUUAUACACUCAUACAGUAUUGUUUUUUUUCUGCCAUCCAAUGCUGUUUGCCAGACGUUUCUGCACUGAAGCAUGCAGCUUCAGUCAUUUGUGCACCUGCAUUUCUGUAAUAUGGAUUAUAUAUGUUUUAAUUUUUUCUUCAAAACUGUAAUCUUCAGUUUGAGUGACACCAUCAGUUCAAGGCCAAAAUCUGUCUCAGCACUUUUAUACCCCUUUAGAAAUUGUGACAGGAUUAAUGUAAAUACUUUUGCCUCUCUUGAAUCUUGAUA